CCUCAGAGUGCCUUGAUGUCAAUUACUUUCUUCAUGCUGUAUAAGUUUGGUUAAGUCUACUAAGGCGUGAUUGCCCAGACAUAGGAAGCACCCAGAGGAAAGGUCCUUUCAACCAAGGACCCUUUAAAGGCCCAGGCCUGGGAAGGGGUGGGGACUGUGUGGGGACUGUCCUUUCUCCCCCACCCUUGGGCGGUGGCGGUGCAGAGCUGGGGAGGGCUGUCUCCUCCUCUUUUCCCCCGCAGCUGCUCACUCCAGCCUGGGCGGACCGGAGGCAGUAACUCCGUGGGCUCCUGAGGAGGGGAUCUGCUCGGGCCACGAUGACAGCGGCCGGGGUCCUCCUGCUCCUGCUCUUGGGGACGCUGGGAGGCUCCCAGGCGCAGCGACCACAGCAUCGGCGACAGUCCCCAGCGCAUCAGCAGAGAGGAAUACGGACAGUAUUACAAAGGAGAUGCAAUUUGUACUGAGUCCAACAGACAAGAGAAAUGAAGAUGGACAGACCAGGAACAAAGCAACUAAGAGUGAAGGAAUGGUUCUAAUUGAAGUUUGAAGCUUCAUUACACAGUGCCUGGGAAUAUGUUGUCAAAUACAAUUCACCUCUCCCAUAGUGAAUGCCGGUGUAAUUUCAUAGGACAGGGUGCUCCAGAGUGCUCAGCUGUCACAAUAUUUGGCUCUAAUUUCAUUCAUCACAGACAAAAUAGCCACAAUGUUUUGAUUUUCUAUUUCCAAAUGUUGGUAUAGGGAAGCAAAUAAUGUAGAAUGUGUUUGAAUUUAAGUAGAUGAAUUUUGGGGACUGUAGCAACUGCUCAAUUGGUAAAGUGAUAGCAUUGAACAUCAUGAGGAUUGAAUUUAAUCCAUACAACCCACAUAAAAAAGCAGUAUAUACAUCCACUUCUAUAAUCUCAGUAUUUGGUUGGCAAAGACAGCCAGAUCCUGAGGCUUGCUAACCUGGGUUGAUCAACAAAUUCCAAGCCAUUAAGAGACCCUGCUUCAAGAAACAAGGGAGACCACAUUCAAGAAAUGAUACCCAAGGUUGACCUUGACACAAAUACACAAAACAGACUGGCUUUGGCAUUCAAACAGCAUGUUGUAGGCUAAUCCUGGCCUCCUUCAAUUAUAUUGCAAUGUUGCAACCUUCCAUGUUUUGACAAAUGUGUCUGUUGAAAUAAAACAAAAAAUGAAUUGCCAACCAAAUCACACUCAUCGUGUUUUAAUUUUAAUAUAUGAAAUGGAACAGGCUAAAAUUCUAAAAUUGCUGUUGUUGUUACACAAUACUUUCUCACAUAGAAGGGCAUCUCUGAUUUUAUCUGGAAAAUUGAAUACAUGUUAGGUAAGUUUGGUUGCUCAGUAAAUGAGUGUAUUUCAGUGUGAAGACUGUUUUUAUUAACAGAUUUUAUAAACUGGCAUGGGUAGCUCCCAGCUCUGUGGCAAGAAUCAUCUAUCAUCAUAAACCUGUAACAUAAAUGUACAGGCUACAUUCUUGUUAUGGGAGUCUGUAAGAGGAGUCCCCCACAUGAACAAUUUAUAUGAGAGGCUCA